UACAGAGGGGGCAAGCGUUAUUCGGAAUUAUUGGGCGUAAAGGGCGCGUAGGCGGCUUCGCAAGUGGAAGGUGAAAUCCCUCGGCUUAACCGAGGAACUGCCCUCCAAACUGCGUUGCUUGAGGCCGGGAGAGGUGAGUGGAAUUCCCAGUGUAGCGGUGAAAUGCGUAGAUAUUAGGAAGAACACCAGUGGCGAAGGCGGCUCACUGGAUCGGUACUGACGCUGAGGUGCGAAAGCGUGGGGAGCAAACAGG
rnacentral:rRNA from 1 species